rnacentral:lncRNA from 1 species
AAACAACAAUAUAAUAUCCUGCAGAAUGUUACAUCAUCAUUUACCCAGGGAGUUACUCAUCUCAUAUCUAAACAAACUGAAUAUGCGGGGAAUUUUAGGACUUGUAUGUGCGCUUUCCUCUUUUUGUGUAGGAAAAGAACCAAAGUGUUCCGGCUACCGCUGUGAGGAACUACUAGCAAAAAUAGAUAAACUGGAAUGUAGACUGGAAUACACUAGGGAACUGUUGGAAGAUAAGGAAAAGACGCGAGUUGCUCCCGUUCGAAUCCCAGCAUGUGCGCAGUGCCCAGAUACAUGGAUACAAUACAAAGGAUCUUGCUACCAUUUUGUUGCUGCGAAUAAUACAUUCAGCCGAGCCGAGUCACACUGUCUUGGUCUUGGAGCUCAUUUAGUACACAUAGAAAAUGGUCUAGAAACGAGUUCAUAAGGAGCCAACUGAGAACGUUGAAAGAGAAAGAGUACUGGAUAGGACUCACAGACGCUGACACAGAAGGAACAUUCAAAUGGGUAGACGACAAUUCCACAGCAUCAUUCACAGACUGGUACAAAUUGCAGCCUGAUAAUGGCGCAGGACGCGAACAUUGUGUGCAUUUCAGAGAUACUUACAAUUAAAACUGGAAUGACGAAAUCUGCACACGGUCCUAUAGCUCGAUCUGCGAAAAGAAAACCAACAAAUAACGUUCGGAUGAACGAGAGCUGAGAUUACUGUUUGGUGUUGCUUUGACCACAAUAUAUACGAAAGUUCUUAUCGUCAUUUACAUGAAAAAACUAAUUAGUAAUAUUCUUACUGUUAUUUUUGGGGAGCUGCAGAUAACAUUAUUUACUUAUUAUUGUUGGUAAAGUAGAAUGAAAUUUAUAUUUCGAAUUGUGAUAGUCGAAAAGUAGCUACUAUAUAUGUUAAGGAAUUUGUUUCUUCAACUUAUGACCUUAUAAAUUUUGUUACAGAUAAACAUUUGAGUGUUGCAUACCUAAUACGGUUAAUAACACCAGUCAAAAGUAAUCUAAAUAUAAAAGCUAAAAUUACGUUUCAGUUACAUAAAUUAUACAAUUAAUUUCUAUAUUUUGUUGAUUGCCUGACUUCAUAUCAAAAGUUCUGGUUAGACAAUAUUUAUUUCUUUUAUAUUAUAUUUGAUAUAUUCAUUUAAAACUUGCCCUAACUCCAUGUUUCUUUUCACUGAUCUCUUUACGAUUUUUAUUAAAAUGAUGAUCAUUUGCACAUUUUCAUUCUUCUUCACUUUUGUAGUUACUUAAGUAUUCUUAACAUUGUUUUUAUUCGUAACAGACUGCUUUAAAUAAAAUUGAUAAAAGUAA